rnacentral:rRNA from 1 species
GAUGAACGCUGGCGGCGUGCCUAAUACAUGCAAGUCGAGCGAACCACUUCGGUGGUGAGCGGCGAACGGGUGAGUAACACGUAGGUGAUCUGCCCAUCAGACGGGGACAACGAUUGGAAACGAUCGCUAAUACCGGAUAGGACGAAAGUUUAAAGGUGCUUCUGGCACCGCUGAUGGAUGAGCCUGCGGCGCAUUAGCUAGUUGGUAGGGUAAAGGCCUACCAAGGCGACGAUGCGUAGCCGACCUGCGAGGGUGAACGGCCACACUGGGACUGAGACACGACCCAGACUCCUACGGGAGGCAGAAGUAGGGAAUCUUCGGCAAUGGGCGAAAGCCUGACCGAGCAACGCCGCGGGAAUGAUGAAGGCCUUCGGGUUGUAAAAUUCUGUUAUAAGGGAAGAACGACUUUAGUAGGAAAUGGCUAGAGUGUGACGGUACCUUAUGAGAAAGCCACGGCUAACUACGUGCCAGCAGCCGCCGUAA